UGGAGAGGACAGGGCUGUCUGGUGGAGAGAAGGCUGGAGGACCCGGUGUGCUAAUGGCUGACAGCAAGAGUGGCCUUCGAGGACAUGCCUCUGAGGGCCUGUGAAGCAGAAAUCAGCGGCUGCUUGUCCAGAUCUAAAGGUGUUUCCUGCGGGCCAGUUUGGCCUUGCUUGCAGGUACCUCUGCGGACCACAACGCUGAACCGAGACACCACCUCCGGACACGCACAUGGGGCCGGCUCUUCAGCUACACAUCAAACACCAAGUCUGCUGCCCGUGCUGGUUGCCGAGUGAGCACCCAAGAAUGUGACUAUAUUUGGAGAGUUUAAAUAAGGUCAUUAGUGUGGCCCCUACUCCAGUACAACUGAUGUCCUUAUAAGAAGAGGAAAUUUCGACACAGAUGGCACAGAGGAAAGGCAAUGUGAAAGCACAGGAGAAGACGGCCAUUUACAAGCCAAGGAGAGAGGCCUCAGAAGAAACCAACCCUGCUGACAUGUUGUCUCA